UUUGAGAUCAUGUUGAGUUUCUCUGUGAGAUGGAGGAACUAAUGAUGCCUACAACUGUAACACUAGUUCACAGACAUGGAGACUAAAGGUAUUAGUGGGAGAGAUGGCAAGCAAAUAUUGAGUUGUAUGCUUAAUUCAUCGAUCUCCGCUUUCUCUAUUGCAUUCAGGUAAACUGCACCUAUGCAACAUUCCCCGUUCUUGACCGGCCCUUUCUCAUCUCUGCAUCAUUGUUCAUAUGGUUCUUCAUGCCUAGAAUGGACUCCUACAAUCUUCCUACAUUACCUUCUGUUGAAAACACACGUCUUUCAAG